rnacentral:rRNA from 1 species
CCCUUAGAUGUCCUGGGCCGCACGCGCGCUACACUGAUGCAUUCAACGAGUUUCACCUUGGCCGAGAGGCCUGGGCAAUCUUUUAAACCUGCAUCGUGAUAGGGAUAGAUUAUUGCAAUUGUUAAUCUUGAACGAGGAAUUCCUAGUAAACGCAAAUCAUCAAUUUGCAUUGAUUACGUCCCUGCCCUUUGUACACACCGCCCGUUGCACCUACCGAUUGAAUGGUCCGGUGAAGCCUCGGGAUUGUGGCCAGUUCACUUUAUUGGGAGUUGGCUGUGAGAACUUGUCUAAACCUUAUCAUUUAGAGGAAGGUGAAGUCGUAACA